CCCUGAGCUGUUAGGGGUGGAGCUAGUCCCUCUGGCUUUGGUCUAGAAAACCUUUCUGCAAAAAAGUAGUUAAUGAAUUGGAACACAGAAUCUCACUGUCCCUUCUUGAAAUGGGGCUUCUGUCUGUCGGGACAGACAGAAAGGAAUUGCAAAUGCAGGAUUAGGUACCCUGACACUAAUGCAAUUCUCAUUUGCUAUCAGUUUACUCCAUGGUCUACAAAAUGCUAUUAAAAAUGGAUGCAGGAUGUGAGAUAAAACAUAUCAAAUCCAAGAUGAUUCACAAGAGCACUCACUUGUCUGGUCCUUUGGCUCCAGUGGCCGUAAACCAGGAGAGACACAGCCCAGGGUGCCAGGGAACUACGUGGCUGCAGUCAGUUCAAACUGGAUCCCGCAGUGGUUAUGGCAUGCACAGAGAGGGCCUCACUGUGCAGUCCAGGCUGUC